rnacentral:lncRNA from 1 species
AGACUUCCCAUAGGGUUCAGGUCAAUCUCCCGCCCACCUCUCCUGCCCUCCACUGCUCUUUCUUCUCUGUCUCUGGGGGAGACAUGUCAUCUGGUUCUGGUCAAGCCACAUGAUCACCUCUCUGACCCGAAGGACUAUCUCAGGACUCAGUACGUAACUGAAGCAAGGCCAAGGAGCUCUGCAGUCAGAAACAAGUUCUUCUUUGUCAGACUGAAAGCUGGUGAAAAUCAGACUGUCAACCCUGAAGUCACCAUAUGGACAGAGCUGCCCUAUAGGAGGGAAGCGAACAAGGGGAAAGAGCUGGAAGACUGGUGCCAGCAUUUGCCACCCUGCACUGAAGCCAGUCACCUUCUUGUGUGCAUGAGGAUUUUUGCCUUUCGAAAUUCAAAUGUAAGAAAGAAGCUACCCUUUGAAUGAUACUUAGUAUGUGAAAUGACUUGAACUUUAUUUAAAAAUUUACAUUUUCAGACUUCUUCAGCAUCCUAAAUUUAUGAACAGAGAGAAAAAAAAACUAGACAGAAAUCAUCACAUAAUCAUUUAUAUUUUAAGUGGCACAACACAACAAGCAACUAAAAUUAUUUUGAUAUGAAAAUUGUUUGUUGGACAUUCAAUGCCAUUAUCAAGUCUUACUCUUUUUUCAGUGUCCACAUACUUUUAGCUUUGCUGUUCUGGGAACCCAUUUAUUAAGAAAUGUGCAUUUUAAAAAAUGCAUAUUAUUUACAUUAGGAUUUUCACUGAAAAAAUACAAUUAAAGAAACUAAGGCUUUCCAUUCCCCCAAAUUUAAUGUUAUUUUUCCCCAACCAGUAUACAGAGAUAUCAUAUAACAUUAUACAGGUUUAUUUAAAGCUAUUUAUAGCAGAUACAUUUUAAUAUAAAAUGAACUUUUCCAACAUACCUCAUUUUUUUCAGUUCUACUCAGUAUCUGAUUUUAAAUGUCUGCAGAUUUCAUUGAUUUGAAAAACAUUCAACUCAAUACACAAAGUAUAUUGAUGACUGCCAGUACAAAAAAAUUAUCCAUAAAUGAAAAGUUUUAGCUCUAGUGGAACAUUACAGUAGGAAAAUAAGGAAGUAAUACUCCCCAUGCCUGUAUUAUUAUUCACUGACUAGUUACUGCCACAAUGUGUGAACAAGUUUGUGCAUUAUUCCCACUUUUCUCUAUCAGACAGUCCUGGAUUUUCAUUUCUGGUUGUUUUUUCAAGUGCAUUAUGUGAAACUCUGGACAAGAGUUAUUCAUAUUAAAAUUACUCUUUAAAAGUGAAGGCAAUAUUCUCUACGGCAGAAUUAAAACAGAGCAAGACAUGACAACAUUCCAGUGUCUCUAGAAAACCCCCAUCCAUCUCUCACAUGGACGGAAUUUGCUCCAAGCUGGGAGCUCUGAACUUAGCAGGCAGAGUGAAUCGCAUAUAUAGUAUUCCCUAAGAAAAUGGUUGAUUUGGAAAUCUUGUGCUUUCACUAUUACUGGCAUUAAUUAUUGCUUGCAAAUAAUGAUAUCCAAAGCAGUUGCAUUUACUGAUCAUAUGUUAAAAUACUUGACAGGGAAAACAGCAAAAACAUCACAGCUACCUUUAUCUCUUGUUAUUGUGACUUUGAGCACAAAAAAAUAUUAACGAUCAAGGCUGUGACAAAAUUGGUUUCUUCUCCUCGAAAGCUAUACAUAUAACACUAAAUAAGUUCUGGAGAUUAAAAUGAAAGAAGAGUUUUAUUAAAAAGUAGGCACUGUGGAAACGGGUAUAAAUGAAAUAACCUGAAAAAUAUUACAUUUCUAUUUUUUUCUAAAUGAGGCAAUCUUAAAUAUAAUAUUGUAGAAGCACUAACUAUUACUUUUGCUAUAAGUGUUAAAAAUGUCAUUCCUGAGCUUGCUGGAGAAAAUUAAAUUUCUUAAAGUAAGCAAAUAGGAAAGAAAUGGUUUCCCUAGAUGGGAGGCUGAACUUGGAUCAAUAUCUCAGCCAAUUACUUUGUCAUUUUCCCAUAUAUCAGAUUUUUCAUUUGGGAUAUAGUCAUACUGUACUUUAUUUCCUAACUACUGGCCCCUAAGUAUGUCACAUCUUUAAAGAGCUGAAAUGUUCAGCUGAAAAGUGGUAUAUAAGUAAAAGUUAUUGUUACUAAAAAUUUGCCAUUGCAGGUAGCUUCUCUUUUUUACUAGUGAGAACAUAAAAACAAAAUGAGAUUUUUACAUCAGGUUUGACUUAAAUAACAUUUCAAGUAUCUCCUUUAAAAUGAUAUUCUGAAAAACAUUAAUAUUCAUGUACCACAAAUUUAAAUACAUUUUCUGAAAGGCAGAAUAUUCCUCGAAUAUCCUUUGUUUUAAUCAUUACUUAUAUAGACUUUUAUAAGUCAUUACUUAUAGACUUAUAUAAAAAUCAAAAGUUAACUUUGGUUCACAUCCUAUCUUUGAGAGUUCCUGAUCUUUUUCAUCCAAAUACCUAACUAAUCAUUUAGAGAUAAAGUUAAUCUCAAACGCAUGAAAGAAAGCUUCAGACAAUAACAUUUCAUUUAAAAAGUUAUAUUCGAUGAAGAAAUGGUCUAAUGGAAGUCAUUUGUUCUUGUUUUCAGUU